GACGAACGCUGGCGGCGUGCUUAACACAUGCAAGUCGAACGGAAAGGCCCUUCGGGGUACUCGAGUGGCGAACGGGUGAGUAACACGUGGGUGAUCUGCCCUGCACUCUGGGAUAAGCCUGGGAAACUGGGUCUAAUACCGGAUAUGAUCAUGCGCCUCAUGGUGUGUGGUGGAAAGCUUUUGCGGUGUGGGAUGGGCCCGCGGCCUAUCAGCUUGUUGGUGGGGUAAUGGCCUACCAAGGCGACGACGGGUAGCCGGCCUGAGAGGGUGACCGGCCACACUGGGACUGAGAUACGGCCCAGACUCCUACGGGAGGCAGCAGUGGGGAAUAUGGCACAAUGGGCGCAAGCCUGAUGCAGCGACGCCGCGUGGGGGAGUGACGGCCUUCGGUUG
rnacentral:rRNA from 1 species